AAAUAAUGCUAAUAAUCUAGUCUUUAUUUUCUUAAACAAAGUCCAGUUUUUUUAGGAAAUAUUGCGCAUUUUGUUUGUUUGUUUUGUUUGCUAAUAAUUAUUAUGGGGGUAUCUGCAACCAGACGGCGACAUAGUUAGAUGACCUUGACACGCUGUUUACAUUUUGCCCCCAGGACAAGGUUGUAAUUGGUUAGCUGAUGGCUUUUAGUGAGUGCACUACUCAAUCUCAUUUUACCAGAUAGACAACGUGGUGUUCAAGUAUAGUUUUCUUUUUAGUUCAACAAUGAAUACUGUAAAUUUCAUUCCAACUCCAUACAUUCCCGAAAAGAGUCGCAUUGUUUGUCAGGUCGUUUACGAAAGUUGUGCAGAUUAUAUUAUUCGCAAAUUCGGUAAGUGUUUUUUUUUCCAUAAGCCUAAGGUAAAAUUUAAUAGGCCAAUUUUCUAUUGCGUCUGCAUGCACACGUGCGCAUGUUCGUACGUAAAGCGCCUUGUUAAAAAUUAACUAUAAUGUAUAUUAUUUUUAUGGACACUAGACGAAGAAGUAAUUGUCGAAGGAGUCCAGUUAAGUCGAACAAUGCCCAUUGAAAAAAUUAAAAAGGGGACUGAUAAUAUUCAUGUUAUUCUUUAUUUGCGACAAGAAGCUAUUCCUACAUAUCAGAAUGUUUUAUUGACCUUGAUGACAGACUUUAAUAAAUGUAUUGUUACCCGUGCUCUUAUUACAAAAAAGAGCAUUAUGGGAAUCGUCCAUCCAAAGUUUGAAAAAGUUAUGCUGAAAUACAAAGUGAUGUUCGAUGUUAGACGAUAUACAACUCAUUAUCGCAUUGAAAUAAAAGGAGCCAGAGGAAAGGUGCGUACGGCAAUUAGAUAUCUUGUUGGACUUGCAGAAGCCUGUUGCAUUAAGACGAAGAACGUUAUGGUCCCUGAACCAGUACCUGGCGAGCCAGCUAUGAAUAUUGAAAAUGACACGCUAUCUGAUCUAGACGAGUCCGAGAAGGAGGAUAUCAGGAAAGGUAUUGAAAAUAACCCGCGAACGAAACUUGCAGAAAUGGAAUUGAAAGCUCAAAGGAAAUAUCUGUUGAAAUUAAAACUUGAAGAAAUGAAACAGCGAAAAGCAAUUGCUCGGUUCCGAGGACAACGAAUCAAGAGAUUACGAAGAAAGUGUUAUUUUAAAGGAAAAAGGAACAUUCCAAAACCAUUGACCAAAGUUGACAGUGAAGCUGACAAUGAAGCCGACGAUGAAGCUGAAGAUGAUGAUGAAGAUGUUCAUGAAAUUAUAGUUAUUUCCGAUGAUGAAGACCAGGAAGUAGUUGAAGUUUUUAGUUCCGACUAAGGAGAUAAAAAUGUUAUUAAGUCGUUAAAUAUCAAGAAUAGAAAAGGAAAGUUUUUGUUUGUUGACCCUUAUGAUAAAAAAUAAAAUACAGUUAUUUAAACUGAUUAAUGAGAAUUUUAUUGCAAAC
rnacentral:misc_RNA from 1 species